rnacentral:rRNA from 1 species
UACGUAGGGGGCAAGCGUUGUCCGGAAUUAUUGGGCGUAAAGAGCGUGUAGGCGGUCCGGUAAGUCGGCUGUGAAAGUCCAGGGCUCAACCCUGGGAUGCCGGUCGAUACUGCCGGACUAGAGUUCGGAAGAGGCCAGUGGAAUUCCCGGUGUAGCGGUGAAAUGCGCAGAUAUCGGGAGGAACACCUAUGGCGAAGGCAGCUCGCUGGGACGUUACUGACGCUGAGACGCGAAAGCGUGGGGAGCAAACAGG